rnacentral:rRNA from 1 species
AGAAUCAACGCUGGCGGCGUGCCUAACACAUGCAAGUCGAACGAGAAAGUGGAGCAAUCCAUGAGUAAAGUGGCGCACGGGUGAGUAACACGUGACUAACCUACCUUUUAGUGGGGGAUAACCUAGGGAAACCUGGGCUAAUACCGCAUAACACUUACGAGUCAAAGCAGCAAUGCGCUGAAAGAGGGGGUCGCGGUCGAUUAGUUAGUUGGCAGGGUAAUGGCCUACCAAGACUGUGAUCGAUAUCCGGCCUGAGAGGGCGCACGGACACACUGGAACUGAAACACGGUCCAGACUCCUACGGGAGGCAGCAGUGGGGAAUUUUGCGCAAUGGGGGAAACCCUGACGCAGCAACGCCGCGUGGAGGAUGAAGUCCCUUGGGACGUAAACUCCUUUCGAUCGGGACGAUAAUGACGGUACCGGAAGAAGAAGCCCCGGCUAACUUCGUGCCAGCAGCCGC